rnacentral:rRNA from 1 species
UACGUAGGAGGCGAGCGUUGUCCGGAAUUACUGGGCGUAAAGAGCGCGUAGGCGGCGCGAUACGACCGAUGUGAAAGCCCCCGGCUCAACUGGGGAGGGUCAUCGGUAACGGUCGUGCUAUGAGUGCAGGAGGAGGGAAGUGGAACUCCGGGAGUAGCGGUGAAAUGCGUAGAGACCGGAGGAACACCAGUGGCGAAGGCGG